AGAGGCGAUGAAGGACGUGCUAAUCUGCGAAAAGCGUCGGUAAGGUGAUAUGAACCGUUACAGCCGGCGAUGUCCGAAUGGGGAAACCCAGUGCAAUUCGUUGCACUAUCGUUAACUGAAUACAUAGGUUAACGAGGCGAACCGGGGGAACUGAAACAUCUAAGUACCCCGAGGAAAAGAAAUCAACCGAGAUUCCCCCAGUAGCGGCGAGCGAACGGGGAGCAGCCCAGAGUCUGAAUCAGCUUGUGUGUUAGUGGAACGGUCUGGAAAGUCCGACGGUACAGGGUGAUAGUCCCGUACACCAAAAUGCACAGGUUGUGAACUCGAAGAGUAGGGCGGGACACGUGGUAUCCUGUCUGAAUAUGGGGGGACCAUCCUCCAAGGCUAAAUACUCCUGACUGACCGAUAGUGAACCAGUACCGUGAGGGAAAGGCGAAAAGAACCCCGGCGAGGGGAGUGAAAAAGAACCUGAAACCGUGUACGUACAAGCAGUGGGAGCACCUUCGGGUGUGACUGCGUACCUUUUGUAUAAUGGGUCAGCGACUUAUAUUCUGUAGCAAGGUUAACCGUAUAGGGGAGCCGCAGGGAAACCGAGUCUUAACUGGGCGUUAAGUUGCAGGGUAUAGACCCGAAACCCGGUGAUCUAGCCAUGGGCAGGUUGAAGGUUGGGUAACACUAACUGGAGGACCGAACCGACUAAUGUUGAAAAAUUAGCGGAUGACUUGUGGCUGGGGGUGAAAGGCCAAUCAAACCGGGAGAUAGCUGGUUCUCCCCGAAAGCU
rnacentral:rRNA from 1 species